rnacentral:rRNA from 1 species
CAGUAGCCGCGGUAAUACGUAGGGUGCGAGCGUUAAUCGGAAUUACUGGGCGCAAAGCGUGCGCAGGCGGUUAUAUAAGACAGAUGUGAAAUCCCCGGGCUCAACCUGGGACCUGCAUUUGUGACUGUAUAGCUAGAGUACGGUAGAGGGGGAUGGAAUUCCGCGUGUAGCAGUGAAAUGCGUAGAUAUGCGGAGGAACACCGAUGGCGAAGGCAAUCCCCUGGACCUGUACUGACGCUCAUGCACGAAAUCGUGGGGAGCAAACAAGAUUAGAUACCCCAGUAGUCCCUGUCUCUUAUAC